rnacentral:rRNA from 1 species
CCGGGGGGGGGGGUGCCUUAUACAUGCAAGUCGAACGAACUCUGGUAUUGAUUGGUGCUUGCAUCAUGAUUUACAUUUGAGUGAGUGGCGAACUGGUGAGUAACACGUGGGAAACCUGCCCAGAAGCGGGGGAUAACACCUGGAAACAGAUGCUAAUACCGCAUAACAACUUGGACCGCAUGGUCCGAGUUUGAAAGAUGGCUUCGGCUAUCACUUUUGGAUGGUCCCGCGGCGUAUUAGCUAGAUGGUGGGGUAACGGCUCACCAUGGCAAUGAUACGUAGCCGACCUGAGAGGGUAAUCGGCCACAUUGGGACUGAGACACGGCCCAAACUCCUACGGGAGGCAGCAGUAGGGAAUCUUCCACAAUGGACGAAAGUCUGAUGGAGCAACGCCGCGUGAGUGAAGAAGGGUUUCGGCUCGUAAAACUCUGUUGUUAAAGAAGAACAUAUCUGAGAGUAACUGUUCAGGUAUUGACGGUAUUUAACCAGAAAGCCACGGCUAACUACGUGCCAGCAGCCGCGGUAAUACGUAGGUGGCAAGCGUUGUCCGGAUUUAUUGGGCGUAAAGCGAGCGCAGGCGGUUUUUUAAGUCUGAUGUGAAAGCCUUCGGCUCAACCGAAGAAGUGCAUCGGAAACUGGGAAACUUGAGUGCAGAAGAGGACAGUGGAACUCCAUGUGUAGCGGUGAAAUGCGUAGAUAUAUGGAAGAACACCAGUGGCGAAGGCGGCUGUCUGGUCUGUAACUGACGCUGAGGCUCGAAAGUAUGGGUAGCAAACAGGAUUAGAUACCCUGGUAGUCCAUACCGUAAACGAUGAAUGCUAAGUGUUGGAGGGUUUCCGCCCUUCAGUGCUGCAGCUAACGCAUUAAGCAUUCCGCCUGGGGAGUACGGCCGCAAGGCUGAAACUCAAAGGAAUUGACGGGGGCCCGCACAAGCGGUGGAGCAUGUGGUUUAAUUCGAAGCUACGCGAAGAACCUUACCAGGUCUUGACAUACUAUGCAAAUCUAAGAGAUUAGACGUUCCCUUCGGGGACAUGGAUACAGGUGGUGCAUGGUUGUCGUCAGCUCGUGUCGUGAGAUGUUGGGUUAAGUCCCGCAACGAGCGCAACCCUUAUUAUCAGUUGCCAGCAUUAAGUUGGGCACUCUGGUGAGACUGCCGGUGACAAACCGGAGGAAGGUGGGGAUGACGUCAAAUCAUCAUGCCCCUUAUGACCUGGGCUACACACGUGCUACAAUGGAUGGUACAACGAGUUGCGAACUCGCGAGAGUAAGCUAAUCUCUUAAAGCCAUUCUCAGUUCGGAUUGUAGGCUGCAACUCGCCUACAUGAAGUCGGAAUCGCUAGUAAUCGCGGAUCAGCAUGCCGCGGUGAAUACGUUCCCGGGCCUUGUACACACCGCCCGUCACACCAUGAGAGUUUGUAACACCCAAAGUCGGUGGGGUAACCUUUUAGGAACCAGCCGCCUAAGGUGAACAGAUUGGG